rnacentral:rRNA from 1 species
GACGAACGCUGGCGGCGUGCUUAACACAUGCAAGUCGAGCGGAAAGGCCCUGCUUUUGUGGGGUGCUCGAGUGGCGAACGGGUGAGUAACACGUGAGUAACCUGCCCUUGACUUUGGGAUAACUUCAGGAAACUGGGGCUAAUACCGGAUAGGAGCUCCUGCUGCAUGGUGGGGGUUGGAAAGUUUCGGCGGUUGGGGAUGGACUCGCGGCUUAUCAGCUUGUUGGUGGGGUAGUGGCUUACCAAGGCUUUGACGGGUAGCCGGCCUGAGAGGGUGACCGGCCAAAUUGGGACUGAGAUACGGCCCGGACUCCUACGGGAGGCAGCAGUGGGGAAUAUUGCACGAUGGGCGGAAGCCUGAUGCAGCAACGCCGCGUGCGGGAUGACGGCCUUCGGGUUGUAAACCGCUUUCGCCUGUGACUAAGCGUGAGUGACGGUAAUGGGUAAAGAAGCACCGGCUAACUACGUG